GUCUCCGUUGCUCAGUCGGCAGAACACUCGACUAUGGUGCGGUAGAACUCGGGUUCGAGCCCCGCUGAAGGCA